rnacentral:rRNA from 1 species
AUUGAACGCUGGCGGCAUGCUUUACACAUGCAAGUCGAACGGCAGCGCGGGCUUCGGCCUGGCGGCGAGUGGCGAACGGGUGAGUAAUGCAUCGGAACGUGCCCAGUAGUGGGGGAUAGCCCGGCGAAAGCCGGAUUAAUACCGCAUACGACCUGAGGGUGAAAGCGGGGGACCGAAAGGCCUCGCGCUAUUGGAGCGGCCGAUGUCGGAUUAGCUAGUUGGUGGGGUAAAGGCUUACCAAGGCGACGAACCGUAGCUGGUCUGAGAGGACGACCAGCCACACUGGGACUGAGACACGGCCCAGACUCCUACGGGAGGCAGCAGUGGGGAAUUUUGGACAAUGGGGGCAACCCUGAUCCAGCCAUGCCGCGUGCGGGAAGAAGGCCUUCGGGUUGUAAACCGCUUUUGUUCGGGAAGAAAUCCUCUGGGCUAAUACCCCGGGGGGAUGACGGUACCGGAAGAAUAAGCACCGGCUAACUACGUG